GAAACUGCCUGAUGGAGGGGGAUAACUACUGGAAACGGUGGCUAAUACCGCAUAACGUCGCAAGACCAAAGAGGGGGACCUUCGGGCCUCUUGCCAUCAGAUGUGCCCAGAUGGGAUUAGCUUGUUGGUGAGGUAACGGCUCACCAAGGCGACGAUCCCUAGCUGGUCUGAGAGGAUGACCAGCCACACUGGAACUGAGACACGGUCCAGACUCCUACGGGAGGCAGCAGUGGGGAAUAUUGCACAAUGGGCGCAAGCCUGAUGCAGCCAUGCCGCGUGUAUGAAGAAGGCCUUCGGGUUGUAAAGUACUUUCAGCGGGGAGG
rnacentral:rRNA from 1 species